GACGAACGCUGGCGGCAUGCCUAACACAUGCAAGUCUAGGGGUAGCAAUACCACUGGCGCACGGGUGAGUAACACGUAGGUUAUCUGCCCCCAUCACAGACAUAACCCCGGGAAACCGGGGCUAAUAUCUGAUGAGGUCGCGAGAUCAAAGCUUCGGCGGAUGGGGAUGAGCCUGCGGCUGAUUAGCUAGUUGGUGAGGUAAUGGCUCACCAAGGCGACGAUCAGUAGCUGGUCUGAGAGGACGAACAGCCACACUGGAACUGAGACACGGUCCAGGCUCCUACGGGAGGCAGCAGUGAGGAAUAUUGGUCAAUGGGAGCAAUCCUGAACCAGCAAUGCCGCGUGUGGGAUGACAGGGCUUCGCCUUGUAAACCACUGUCGGACGGGACGAAAGGAGGCCUCGGGCCUCUGGGACGGUACCGUCAAAGGAAGGGUCGGCGUAACUACGUGCCAGCAGCCGCGGUAAU
rnacentral:rRNA from 1 species